UACGUAGGGGGCAAGCGUUGUCCGGAAUUAUUGGGCGUAAAGCGCGCGCAGGCGGUCAUUUAAGUCUGGUGUUUAAUCCCGGGGCUCAACUCCGGGUCGCACUGGAAACUGGGUGGCUUGAGUGCAGAAGAGGAGAGUGGAAUUCCACGUGUAGCGGUGAAAUGCGUAGAGAUGUGGAGGAACACCAGUGGCGAAGGCGACUCUCUGGGCUGUAACUGACGCUGAGGCGCGAAAGCGUGGGUAGCAAACAGG
rnacentral:rRNA from 1 species